AUAUUAGAAGUUGAUGUGGUUUGGUUCAUUGAAAUAGUGUUAGCUCCCUUGAGUUAACUUCCAGCAGGGGGCGCGAUCAAACAAAGCGUCUGUAUCGAUCGAGAAGCCAAGACAGAAUUAUGUCAAGCAAAGUACCAACAAAGGUGUUUGUUGGUAACCUCACAGAAUCAUGCUCCAAAAUCCAUUUACAGAGAAUCUUUGAAGCAUAUGGAAGUAUUGUGGAGUGCGACAUCAUCAGAAAUUAUGCAUUUAUUCACUUUGCUGAUGCAGAUGAAGCCAAAACUGCUGUUGAAAACCUAGAUGGAUCAAACUUUGAAGGAUCAAACAUUAAGGUUGAACUGUCACAUAGCAAGGUUCGACAGAAGCCAGGCAUGGGCAGGAAAGGAGACUGCUACAGAUGUGGGAAGGAAGGACACUGGUCAAAAGAUUGCCCUAAAGGACCGUCCCGGCCUCCUCGCAAACCUGGUCGUGAUGAUCCAUACAAGUCUCCCUACAGAGAUCCCAGAGAUCUAAGAGAUCCUUACUACAGAGAUCCAUAUGAUGAUCCCUACUACAGAGACCGUUAUCUGCCUCCUCCUCCCCGAUUCGACAGAUACAGGCCGUAUGCUGACCCCUAUGAUCGACGCCCCCUUCCCCCACCCCCAAGAGAUCCAUACUACAGAGAGAGGGACCCCUAUGCCAGACCCCCACCAGAAUACUAUGGCAGGAGGUCACCACCCCCAAGAGACCCCUACUACGACUACUAUGCAAGAGAGAGACCUUCUGGGGACUGAAAUAGCAUGUGUGGCAAACUCCCAUGCCUUUUCAUGCAGAGUUGACUGUCUCCUUACAUGAUGGAACCGAUUCUUGCUGUGUUACCACAAGAGGACAGGUGUCUGAAGAGGGAUAUGCGUGACUAUAGUACAGUGCAUUCAUGACACAACCAAGCCUCAGCAGCAGAAGGAAGGAGUCACAGGAGUCAUGAAGUGAUAACAUGGUAUCCCAAGGACACUAUCAGAAGAAGUCCUGUUGCUGCAUCCAAGUUUUCAAGUCUGAUCUUGUAAACUGUCUUCAUUGGGGGAAUAUCAGCUCCCCAUUGCAGUUAUGGAUCAGCAAGGUGUAAGAAUGAACUCUGAUCAGUGAACUUUCAUGACAUACGUCCAACACUAUCAAGACUCUGUUAUCUGCUUCCCAGCAAAAUUACAGAUCCUGAUAACAGAAAUCAUCACCUUGCACCACUUCCCUGAAAAAUUUAGGUUUUGAAGGUACUUAACAUGAUGAAAGGACAAGUUCCAACUAACAUUGUUUGAAGGUUAUUGAAUCUCUGGACUGUAAGUGUGAAUACAGAGGACUACAAAUUGUGCUGAAAGUCAUUUCUUGUAAAAGUCAUGAAAUAAAAUAUGACAAAAGAAAAA